rnacentral:lncRNA from 1 species
AUUAGGGUUUGAAAAACUAGGGUUCUUUUAGAGAGACAGAGAUAGAAAAACUAGGUUUCUUCAAAUUUUUCCAUCUUUGUUUUCUUAUUUUGUUUACGAAAAUACAAAAAAAAUUAGUGUCCGUGUUUUUCUUUUUUGUUUCGAUCACUGCCUCAAAAAUUCAAAAAAAUAUAUGUUCCGUCUCUCCUCUUAUAAUUUUGAAUUCUGGUUUCAACAUGGAGAUUGAUUGAGCUGAGAUAAAGUUGGCCGUUUGAGUCCGAGUUCGUGGUUUUUGCAUCUUGUCACACUGUAGCUGCUGUCUUCUUUGAAUUUUCAUCGUCAGAUUCACUUGUAUUUGAUUCAAAGCAGAAUUAAUCAAAUUUGUUGCAAUUCAGGUUUGUUAUGUUUUCUUACUCUGUUUUUUGAUGAUUGAUUGAAGUAUGACAAGGGACAAGAGGGGUUGCUCUGAUGGUAAGCAACCCCCACUUCCAACCGAGAGGUUGUAAGUUCGACAAUGCAAUAGUGACUUGGUGUGGUUAAUUUUCUUAACACUGUUAGCAUUACUUCAGACAAGAGGGGUUGCUCUGAUGGUAAGCAACCUCCACUUCCAACCGAGAGGUUGUAAGUUCGAGUCUCCCCAACAGCAAGGUGGGAAGUUCUUGGAGGGAAGGAUGCCGGAGGUCUAUUUGGAAACAGCCUCUCUAUCCAAGGAUAAGGGUAAGGUCUGCGUACACACUAUCCUCCCAGACCCCAAUAAGUGGGAUUAUACUGGGUUGUUGUUGUUGAUUGAAGUAUGAUAAGAGCCCUAGCUGUUGUGUUCGGGGUCUGCGGCUAAUUCACGAACUUGUAGGUUAUUGACGGGUUGUUUCAAAAGGGAUUAUAUUUGAAUAUGUACUUCGAAGUUUUGUUUUGCACCUGACAUGAACACUUGUUGCUUUAAUCUCAUGGUUUUGCGAUAUGUGAGUAGGAGGAUCAAUGUUUUAAAUGCUUAAUACAUAGCUGAAUCUCAGUUUCAGCUGCUUCUGCUAAAUGCAGUAACAUUAUGGUUCUUAUGCUUCUAUUAGCUUUGUUUUCCAUUUGGUGAAGAUUGGCAUACAAUAUGUUUUCGAGUGAUAACCUAAUAUCCAUAUUAGUUUCUAAAAGCCUGUUACGUUGUGAUUUAGUUGGGAGUUACCUUCUAGUUGUGAUUUGUGCUCGAGAGAGUUAUUUGUCAAUCAGUUCUUAUUAUGCGAUGUGCCAUCUUGCGGCACGAUACGAGUAGUUGAAAAAUGAAACAUUUAGGUUAUAGUUAAGUUUCCAAAUUAGAUCCAUUCGUCUUUGGUUUAUUGACGUGCAAUCUGUUCACAUCUGUUGAUUUCUUU